rnacentral:rRNA from 1 species
AUUGAACGCUGGCGGCAGGCCUAACACAUGCAAGUCGAGCGAGCGGCGGACGGGUGAGUAAUGCCUGGGAAUUGCACAGUCGAGGGGGAUAACAUUUGGAAACUACUGCUAAUACCGCAUACGCUUUGGUCGCCGAGGUGGUCUUGGCUAGUUGGUGAGGUAAUGGCUCACCAAGGAGACGAUCCCUAGGUGGUCUGAGAGGAUGAUCAGCGACACUUGAACUGAGACACGGUCCGGACUCCGACGGGAGGCAGCAGUGGGGAAUAUUGCACAAUGGGGGCAACCCUGAUGCAGCCAUGCCGCGUGUGUGAAGAAGGCCUUAGGGUUGUAAAGCACUUUCAGCGAGGAGGCGUUACUCGCAGAAGAAGCACCGGCUAACUCCGUGCCAGCAGCCGCGGUAAUUC